AAGAAAUACUUUCUCAAAGUAUAAGUAUGGUAAAUUAUUGUCUGACAGUGUUAACAAAAUUUAUAGGUGUAAUUGAUUUUUGACAUAUUUCAGUAUUUGGGACCUUCAAACUGUUCCAAAGAUAGUGAAGCAGCAACUAUAGUUUCACUUAUUUUUUUUUCAAUUUUGCAAAGUCUGAUUUUUUCUAAUGGAGAAAUUGUUGGUUUCUUUUUAACGGACCCGGAUAUUUGGAUCGUUUUACACAAGUAAUUGUUGGUCCCUUUAUAAAAUUGAGAAUGGAAAUAGGGAAUGUGUCAAAGAGACAACGACCCGACCAUAUGACAGACAACAGCAGGAGGUUACCAAUAGGUUUGCAAUAGCUUACUUUUCAACAUUGAACGCACGUUUUAGAAAAAAAUACUGAAUAGGUAAUAUAGAUAAGAGAUAUAUUCUGAGAAAAAAAUUAGCAACAGACGGGCUUUAUCGAUGGAUGCAACUAUACAAAGUAUGUUUACCGACAUACCGUCCCCGCUUUUACAACGCUUCUUUUUAGAAUACAUGUACUUCAAAUAUUAUAGUGCUCUUACUUUCAGUACAGAUCCUGAAAAAAAGUUUACCUAUCCAGAACAGAUACAUGUAGAAGUGUUUCAGUGCCAGUUUGCAUGUUUUUCGAGGCAGAAAUCUUUUUGGAAAGACAUUAUUCAGGUUUAACAGAGUUAAAAAAAAAUCAUACUAGACAGUGGUGAAUUCAUCUAAAAUAUCACUGUUUCACGCCUGUUUCACGCCGUGAAAUUACUGCACAGGUACAAUUAUACAUUGGGAAAAAAAGUGUUAAACUACUUUUACAAGGUGAUAAAGAAAGUCGAAUCGUGAAGCCCGUAAACAAUACUUUUUUAAUCUGUGCAUGCAAAUUGAAGAUUGUGUUAUACAAUAAACAUAUUCGCAGAUCAAAUAUUUUGAGAGUCCCAGACACUAUAUUUGUUGACACUUUCCCACUAAUUCCACGUAUUUUCAAGUGAUAGUAAAUUCGUAGUAGCCUACAAUGCAUUGUAGUUCAUUGAGUCGAUUGGUCAGUUUUUCAAGGUCGUGUGUUUUGGAAAUUACUAUGCAAAUAUAUUCUGACAGGAAAUCUAGAGUUCUUGACCUGU
rnacentral:lncRNA from 1 species